UACGUAGGGGGCAAGCGUUGUCCGGAAUCAUUGGGCGUAAAGAGCGUGUAGGCGGCCCGGUAAGUCCGUUGUGAAAGUCCAGGGCUCAACCCUGGGAUGCCGGUGGAUACUGUCGGGCUCGAGUCCGGAAGAGGAGUGUGGAAUUCCUGGUGUAGCGGUGAAAUGCGCAGAUAUCAGGAGGAACACCAAUGGCGAAGGCAGCACUCUGGGACGUGACUGACGCUGAGACGCGAAAGCGUGGGGAGCAAACAGG
rnacentral:rRNA from 1 species